AGACGGAGGGAAGAAGAACCGGACGGGGUGGGGACCCACGCGAGCUGCCACCGCCUUGCGCGGUUCCGGCUGGCGCGUGCUCCCGGCUCCUCCCCCGUUCCCUGUGUCCCCCCCGCUCUCCGCCCAGCUCCCUAGGGCCGGUGCGCAGGCGCGGCGCCCGGCCGGGCAGGGCGGUGGCCUGAGGAGGCAGCGGGACCCGGCAGUGGGUGCCGGCCCCACGGAGCCGCCGGCCCGCGGGGAUGGCCCCGGGCAGCGCCCCCGAACCGCCGAGCGGGGACAGCUUGCGCGGCGGCGGCGGCUGCGCAGGCGCGGCGGGGCGGGGUCGGGUCGGUCCGGGGGGGGCGCUCGGGAAUGUCGGCUUAUGGGGUUCUGCGCUGUCCUGAGUGGUUUCAGCCGCCCGAACACCCUAUUUCUUACUUCACUCUCUUUUUCCGAAGGUUGCUGUAGAAUAAGCGGGUAUGAUAUUUGAGAAGUGCAGUGGCUGUCGGUGAGGGACGACACCCGUGACUGCAGGAGCUCUGUACGCGGCUGUUACAAAGGAUAAAGGACGGGUUUUAGCUGCUUUCCCUUUAUUCUGCUUCAGUCACUAGUUGUACUGAUGCAGACUUGCAAGACCUUGGCUUUCUCAUGUGCUUGUGCUCGUCCAUAUGAUACUAAUCAUGAUGGUGACACCUAGGGAGUAGUAAAUAAUGGAAAUCCAAAAGUGCAAGGGUAAGAGUGGCAAUGGUGGAUUUUCUGGUGGUGAAAAACCAUAACAGACUAGCAUACAAUUUAAACACUGGAUGUAAUUCUCUGUGAUUCUCACCUUAAUACCCCAAAGGUGUGGCAUGUGAAGACUAUAAAUUUUCCAUUCCUGUAUCAGAACAUGAGUAAUCAAGGUGUUUGCAUGAGACUGGAGCUUUGGAUGCUGGGAUCUAUUUUUUUUCCAGGUCACACCUCUUCAUGAAAGAUGAAGACAAUUACAGGCUUCAGUUGGGUCUCUUGCAAUCUUCUACACUAUUCACAGCAAGUUACAUUCAUCAUGGAAGUAACAUUGCAGUCAUUCCAUCCUUAUUUCAUAAAUUAUUUCAGCAUGGACAUAUAAUCAGAUUGUAGCUUUUAUAUAAAAUAUGGAGCCUGGCAGUAAUUGUAUAAUCCAUACAUUUUAGAAAAAAAGUCAAAUGCACUGAUGUGACAGGACAAUGAUGGACUGUGACUUUUUCAGUAUGUUCAAACAUGUCAGUUUUAUUAGCAUUUUGGGAAAUAUAAUUCAAACGACCUGAGUUAAAUCUUUUACUAUGAUUCUUCUGUAGGAACUAUUAUAUAGUUACAGCAUCAAAGAUUUCUAAUUUAUUUGCAUGAGAGUUUUCUUUGUUAGAAAUGUUCUUAAAACUUAGGCUGUCUUGUCUCUCUUUACAGAAAAACAUUACUUGGAGAUAGAAUAUGUGUGAAGGAGAUGUCAGUCACCAUAUUCCAUUAAACCCAAGCUUUUGUAGUGAAGAACAGCAUUUUCUUGUUAGUGUGCACAACAUUAGAAUGAAGUGGCUUUGCUUUGCCUAGUUAUUUUUUUUUUAAAUUUUUUGAAUGUGUACAGUGUUGGGGUUUUGUGCAUAAGAUGGAAUUUACAGACAGUCUGGCACAUGAAAUAUGGUUGAACUGGAAUUGUUCUGUGGCUCCUGUGUUUGAAUUCCUAACGUGGUUUAGAAUUUAAAUAUUCUCUUUCUCAGGAAAACAGAAGGGCUGCAUUGGAUGGAUGACCCCAUCAGUCAAAUAAAAACAUUGGUUUCA